UUAUGCAUCAUCUUUGCAUCAUGCAUGUCAUAUCAUGUCACCUUUGGUUUUUAAAUAAAAUUGCAUUUUGGUUUUUGUUGCUCUAUUUUCUAUGUGUUUGUUCUUCUUCCCUCUCUCUUGUUUCAUCUCACCACUUGUGAUGUUACAAUAAAAGCCAAAGCAAACCUUGACCCAUCUCUCUUCUCACACCGGCCCAUCUACACCAAAAAUAGCCAUACGUACCUCCUCUCUCUCCCUUUACAUGUGAGAGGCAUGACCAUAUCAGGCCAUGUUUUCCCUGUGAUCUCCACGCCACCUCUUUCUCUCCAUCCACCGGCCACCCUGCCUCCCUCUUAAGCAGCACCAACUCUAGACCAAACCCUACCUAACCACCUCCAUCUUCCUCCUCCUCUAAGUGUAGCCGCCGCCACCAUCUCUUCCUCCCCGGCAGCAAACUCCACCGAACCUGCAGCUCAACGCCGGCCUCCACCAGCGCCAUGGCCGUCACCUGAGCAAGGUGAGGCACCCCGGCAGCCCCCUCUCCACCCUGUAUUUCCUCAAGGACGCCAAGGCCUGCAGCCCCUCAAGCAUCUUCUUCAUCUUCAACAACCCGGCCACCUUCUCCUUCAUCUCCGGCCAGUUCCUCCGGCCACUUCUCCGUCGCCUCCUCCACCUCUCCGGCUACACCUGGACACCGACGCAGAGCAGUACGAGCAGGAGUACGAGUUCCCUCUGGAGGAUCGUGUCGGUGCUUCUACCUCUGAUCUGACAGGCGAGCCCACCCCUUCACCUAUUUUACUUUUACAUGCUCUUUUGAUCUAUUGCUAUCCUUAUGUUGCGAUUCUGUUGUGUCACGUGUCC